AGCGAACGCUGGCGGCAGGCCUAACACAUGCAAGUCGAACGAACUCUUCGGAGUUAGUGGCGGACGGGUGAGUAACACGUGGGAACGUGCCUUUUGGUUCGGAAUAACUCAGGGAGACUUGUGCUAAUACCGAAUGUGCCCUUCGGGGGAAAGAUUUAUCGCCAUUAGAGCGGCCCGCGUCUGAUUAGCUAGUUGGUGAGGUAACGGCUCACCAAGGCGACGAUCAGUAGCUGGUCUGAGAGGAUGACCAGCCACACUGGGACUGAGACACGGCCCAGACUCCUACGGGAGGCAGCAGUGGGGAAUCUUGCGCAAUGGGCGAAAGCCUGACGCAGCCAUGCCGCGUGAAUGAGGAAGGUCUUAGGAUUGUAAAAUUCUUUCACCGGGGACGAUAAUGACGGUACCCGGAGAAGAAGCCCCGGCUAACUUCGUG
rnacentral:rRNA from 1 species